UGGGGAAUAUUGGACAAUGGGCGAAAGCCUGAUCCAGCUACGCCGCGUGAGUGAUGAAGGCCUUUGGGUUGUAAAGCUCUGUCGUGAGGGAAGAAGUUCUGACGGUACCUCACAAGAAAGCACCGGCUAACUCCGUGCCAGCAGCCGCGGUAAUACGGAGGGUGCAAGCGUUGCUCGGAAUUACUGGGCGUAAAGCGAGCGCAGGCGGACUAUUAAGCUGGAUGUGAAAGCCCAGGGCUCAACCCUGGAACUGCAUCCAGAACUGGUAGUCUAGAGGAUAUGAGAGGGAAGUAGAAUUCCUGGUGUAGAGGUGAAAUUCGUUGAUAUCAGGAGGAAUACCUGUGGCGAAGGCGGCUUCCUGGCAUAUUUCUGACGCUGAGGCUCGAAAGCGUGGGUAGCGAACAGG
rnacentral:rRNA from 1 species